UUUCAAUAGUCGUCUGCUGUAGUUUUUGUCAGUUUAACCCAAGGUUUAACCUGAGUUGUCGCCAAUUGAUAGCUGUCAGAAUCCUUGAUUAUAUUCUAUUCAAGCUUAUUUUCAUGGUGAAAGUUUUCUUCGUAAAUUUGUUAGUUGUGUUUCUUUUAAUGUUCUAAACGACUGUCUUUUGUCAUUUGUUUUCAAAUGAAUAAUUAUGUAUGUGAAGCAGACGAUAUGUUUUCUUUUCUAAGAAACUUGUUGUAGACAUCUGUUUUUUCCUUAAUUUGGAAAGGUGUGUUACCUGAAAAGAUGUUUUUCACUGGAGGAGCUGGGUAUAUCGGAAGCCCCUGUGUAGUUAAGCUUAUGGAAUUGGCUAUCUGGUUAUUUCUUGCGAGAAGUUUGGGAAGAUUGGCUGUUUCUGGAAGUGAUAGCAUUCAGCUAAGCCGAGUAAUAAAAGAAAUAACCUUAAAUUGCCAUGGAAUAAGUCAUUGGAAAGAAUAAUUCACUAUACAGUAGCAAAGAAGUUAACGGCGAAGAAGUUAAAUCUCAAGAACAGAGCUGAGAAAGGCCCAAUUGAUAAUUCUCCUAGCAAAGAUUCAUCAAGUAGUUCAUUCAGGGCUGAUAAAGAGAAGUCAAAGUUGCAGAAGGAGCUGUUGUCUUCUGUUGUCUCUGCAGUCGAGCUUAUGUCUCAAGUUGAGUCAGCCUACAAAGAAAGGGCCAAUUAAAACAUACACCAAGAAGGUAGAAAAGUUAGAGUUGCACGUUCACGAGUACACACUCUAAGUGGAAGAGCUCAACAGCAUAUUAUCGACAUCAGCAGCCACAAAACUCGUUUGAAAACAUUGAACCAAGGAAGUUCGAUAGCUGAAAUUCAGCUACGAAAAUAUCAGCUAUUUAAAGACCAACUCAGCUCAAGCCAAAUCAAUUCGAACAUCUGCGUCGUCGCUUUGAAGACAAAGAACGCAUCCAAGUACGAGCAAGCCUGCACUUUUCACACCGAAGAGAUCGAAGAAAUCAUGCGCAAAUUUCACAUCCAGGUUACAUAACUGAAAAACAGAUCAGCGCAUUGAUUUCCAAAUGCUCAGGUUUGGAGAAGAGGACGUCACGUCUACAGAGUGAGAUGGAUUCCGACAUACUCGAGAGUGGCUGCAUUGCAAUCGAAAAGAAAUUUCGCAGCACUCAGCCAGUUCCUCCAACGCUAUCACCUCGGUCGAGCGAUCAGCAAACGGGCGAAUGGAAGUUGGUUGUGCCAAUGUCCAAGCGGUGAUGCGACGUUGGUGUUGCUGUUCUUAGCGACUUAUUGCUUUAUGCCGUUGGUGGCCAUGACGGUCAGUCGUAUAUCUAAAUAGCAAAGAACACUACGAUCCUUAAACCAACUUGGUCGUCUGAGGUAGCGCCCACAUGCCGCACGUGUGUCGGUGUAGCUGUUCUCUAUGGUUAUCUGUGUGCCGUUGGUGGCCAGGAUGGCGUCAGUUGUCUUAAAUAUGUUGAACGCUACGACCCAAAAGAAAAUAAAUGGAGUAAAGUCGCCUGUAUGAACACUUGCCGAUUAGUUGUAGCUGUUGCCGUCCUGGGUGGAUACUUGUAUGCUGUGAGUGGGUCAGAUGGCCAGAUUCCUCUUAACACUAUGGGAAAAUACGAUCCACGUCAAAACAAAUGGACUUUGGUUGCUCCAAUGUCGACAAGAAAAAAGCAGUUGGGUUGCGCCGUGUACAACAACUGAAUCUAUGCCGUAGGUGGACGAGACGACACCACUGAACUCUCGUCAGCUGAGAGCUACAAUCCUAACACCAACACAUGCCAGUCCCAUAUUGGCAAUGAGCUCAAGAAUGAGUGGCGUCGGACUUGCCGUAGUCAAUGGACAGCUAUACGCAGUAGGUCGAUUGAAGUCUACAAUCCGGAGCAGAAUCAAUGGCGACUGUGUGUCACCGUAAUUAUCGGUGGCUCGGCGGUGGUGUGGUCCUUGUUAAAUGCCUCAACACGAAACUCACUUGUGGUAACAAGAGCCGCAAUCUGACUUGAAAAUAAACCAGCCGAAGUUGCGUACCAACUUCGCCGGUAGGUAGUGUACAUUAUAAAAGUCUUUGAGUUGUUGCUUUUCCCCAAAAAUCCUAUUAUUCUAUGUAUUUUUUUUUGUUUGAAAACUGAGCUUUAUUGGUUUUAGUUAAUUGCUUUUAGCUAUAGCAGUAACAUUUCAAAGCUUUUUUGGGGGGCUAUGAUGUUUGUCCAACAAUAAAAAAAUGUCCAGGCUUUAAACUCUUGACUGAUUUCAAUUUCCUUUAAGACCACGAAAACACGA